AGAGUGGUGUCCGGGUGAGUAACACGUGGGUAAUCUACCUUCGGGAGGGGAAUAACCCAGGGAAACUUGGGCUAAUACCGCAUAAUGCAGCGGCACCUAAUGGUGAUUAGUUGUUAAAGCGGGGGAUCGCAAGACCUCGCGCCUGAAGAGGAGCCUGCGGCAGAUUAGCUAGUUGGUGAGGUAAUGGCUCACCAAGGCUUCGAUCUGUAGCUAGUCUGAGAGGACGGCCAGCCACACUGGCACUGACACACGGGCCAGACUCCUACGGGAGGCAGCAGUGGGGAAUUUUGGGCAAUGGGCGAAAGCCUGACCCAGCAACGCCGCGUGAGGGAGGAAAUCCUUCGGGAUGUAAACCUCACAAGCAAGGGAAGAGAGCUGCGGGCUGAAUAAUCCCGCGGUGCGACGGUACCAUAUGUAAGCCCCGGCUAACUCCGUGCCAGCAGCCGCGGUAAUACGGGGGGGGCAAGCGUUGUUCGGAAUUACUGGGCGUAAAGCGCGCGUAGGCGGCUUUUCAAGUCAGACGUGAAAGCCCCAGGCUUAACCUGGGAACUGCGUUUGAUACUGUUGAGCUAGAGUGUGGAAGGGGCUACUGGAAUUCCGUGUGUAGCCGGUGAAAUGCGUAGAUAUACGGAGGAACACCAGCGGCGAAGGCGGGUAGCUGGGCCAACACUGACGCUGAUGCGCGAAAGCUAGGGUACAAC
rnacentral:rRNA from 1 species